UGAAGGUAAGGCCAUGUAUUCACCUCUUAUAUAACCUCCAUCCUUGAUGUAAUUGUCACUAUAAAUAAGACCCCAUUGAACAAGAGAUAGAAUGGCUAGGGAAAGAGGCUGGCUAAUAUUCAUAUCUAUCUACCUACUUAGUUAAUACAUAUAAAACAAUGGGAACAAAAUCUGGUACAUAGAAAACAAUAAAUGUGUUAGCUAUAAUUAUUUAUAGGUUAUGUGAAAAGCUAUCCUAAAUGUGUUGUUAAGGUGAAAAAGCAAAGUGCUGCAUACCUGAAACAAAUAGGGGAAUUUCACAUAUUUUUACUUACACAUAUAUAAAAUUUUCUUGCAAGAAUUGCUAAGAAACUAAUAACAUUAAUUACCUAGCUGUGGGCCCUUGACCUGAGACAUCUUUCCUUUCAAUAUUCCCAUUCUUCUUCUGGGCAACUGUGUAUAUUAUUCAUAUCUCAGCUUAUAUAUUACUUCCUUCAGGAAAUCUUCUCUCUGAUUGCAUUUCCCCUCUCCCAGUCCCUAACACACAAACAUAAGAUUAUACUGAAUUUCCUUUUUAUAUGCUCCAGUCCUUCAAUACAGUAUAAACUACCUGAAGGCAAGAAUAUUAUCUU
rnacentral:lncRNA from 1 species